UACGAAGGUGGCAAGCGUUACUCGGAAUUACUAGGCGUAAAGGGCAGGUAGGUGGCUUGAUAAGUCUGUUGUGUAAGCUCCUGGCUUAACUGGGAGAGGUCAACAGAUACUGUCAAGCUUGAGUGUAGGAGAGGGUACUGGAAUUCCCGGUGUAGCGGUGAAAUGCGCAGAGAUCGGGAGGAACACCAAUGGCGAAAGCAGGUACCUGGACUAUUACUGACACUAAGCUGCGAAAGCUAGGGGAGCAAACAGG
rnacentral:rRNA from 1 species